rnacentral:rRNA from 1 species
UACAGAGGUCCCAAGCGUUGUUCGGAUUCACUGGGCGUAAAGGGUGCGUAGGUGGCCGGGUAAGUCUGACGUGAAAUCUCCGAGCCUAACUCCGAAACUGCAUUCGAUACUGCCGUGCUUGAGGACUGGAGAGGAGACUGGAAUUUACGGUGUAGCAGUGAAAUGCGUAGAGAUCGUAAGGAAGACCAGUGGCGAAGGCGGGUCUCUGGACAGUUCCUGACACUGAGGCACGAAGGCCAGGGGAGCAAACGGG